GACGAACGCUGGCGGCGUGCUUAACACAUGCAAGUUGGACGGUACGACAUGGAAGCUUGCUGAAGUGUCGUACAGUAGCGAACGGGUGAGUAAUGCAUGAGAAUCUGCCCUUUGGAGGGGGACAACAGCUGGAAACGGCUGCUAAUACCCCGUAAGCCGGGAGGUGAAAGGUACGCGAGUACUGCCGGGGGAUGAGCUCAUGUCCUAUCAGCUGGUUGGUGGGGUAACGGCCCACCAAGGCGACGACGGGUAGCCGGCCUGAGAGGGUGACCGGCCACACUGGAACUGAGACACGGUCCAGACUCCUACGGGAGGCAGCAGUGGGGAAUUUUGGGCAAUGGGGGAGACCCUGACCCAGCGACGCCACGUGAGGGAAGACGGCCUUCGGGUUGUAAACCUCUUUUGUACGGGAAGAUAAUGACGGUACUGUACGAAUAAGUCCCGGCUAACUACGUG
rnacentral:rRNA from 1 species